rnacentral:rRNA from 1 species
UACAGAGGGGGCAAGCGUUGUUCGGAAUUACUGGGCGUAAAGGGCGCGUAGGCGGCCUGUUAAGUCGAACGUGAAAUCCCCGGGCUCAACCCGGGAACUGCGUCCGAUACUGGCAGGCUUGAAUCCGGGAGAGGGAUGCGGAAUUCCAGGUGUAGCGGUGAAAUGCGUAGAUAUCUGGAGGAAUACCGAUGGCGAAGGCAGCCCCCUGGGAUAACACUGACGCUGAGGCGCGAAAGCGUGGGGAGCAAACAGG